UACGUAGGUGACCAGCGUUGUCCGGAUUUACUGGGCGUAAAGAGCGCGCAGGCGGUCGUUCAAGUCGAGUGUGAAAGUCCCCGGCUCAACUGGGGAGGGUCAUUCGAUACUGAUCGACUCGAAGGCAGGAGAGGGAAGCGGAAUUCCCGGUGUAGUGGUGAAAUGCGUAGAUAUCGGGAGGAACACCAGUGGCGAAGGCGGCUUCCUGGCCUGUUCUUGACGCUGAGGCGCGAAAGCUAGGGGGAGCAAA
rnacentral:rRNA from 1 species